rnacentral:rRNA from 1 species
UACGUAGGCAGCGAGCGUUGUUCGGAAUUACUGGGCGUAAAGAGUGUGUAGGCGGUGCUCUAAGUUCGGUGUGAAAUCUCCUGGCUCAACUGGGAGGGUGCGCCGGAAACUGGAGUGCUUGAGCGUGGGGAGAGGAAAGGCGGAAUUCCUGGAUGUAGCGGUGAAAUGCGUAGAUAUCAGGAGGAACACCUGUGGUGUAGACGGCUUUCUGGACCAUAGCUGACGCUGAGACACGAAAGCGUGGGUAGCAAACAGG